GCACCAACAUAUUUACACAAAUGCCCUCCUUGCAAAUUACAAUCCUCUCCGGCCACUGGUGAGUUCUAGAAGGGCCGGUACAUUUUAUGUUUCUGGUUUCUCUUCAAGCUAGCCUUCUCUUAAAUUCUAAUCUAACCCUGCUUCUUUUACGCUUCUUCUUCUUCUGGAUCCGUGGUAAACAAUUCUCUGAAGUCCAGGCUUGAGUUACAACACAAGAAUCACAAAAUAAAACUGCAUAAGAAAUCAAGAAAUCAUCCAGUUUCACAAACCCUAGAACGACUUCCACAAAUGGGUUUUUUUUCAAAUUGUAUAGAGGGCUUUAAAGUUGCAGCGAUUUACAUAGGUAGGAGGUUUAGGGUUCUUCAGGUAGAGUUCUUGUGAGAUAAUAGUUACCUGGGAAAGAAGAAACUCGAAGCAAAUGGGAUCACGGCGGCGUAAGAUCCUCCGUCAUCUAGCGGCUGUCAACGUCGGUGGGAGUAACGGCAGCGCAAUCCAGAGCUUCGAAUGAGGCUUCGAAGGUUGAAUAAUAAAAAAAAAAAAAGUAAAAGCAUACUUUUUAUAUAUCUCAAUUCUCACGGAGGUUUCUUGGCCCAAUCUUUAAAGCAAAUCGAACCUUCUCGGCCCAAUCUUAGGUCAUAUUAUAUCUACAUGAGUGUUCGUACCAUAGGACAGAGAACACAUAUACUUUAAAACGUGUUUGUGGUUCAGUUUAGUUUGGUUAUUAACCUCAACUGAAACAAAACCUAAAGGCAUCAAUUAAUCGAUCUUCCAAACCAAUCAGUUAAUUGGUUGGUUUAUUGCCCAUGGCUUUAUAGCCUACUAGCCUAGUGGCAUCUUGGGGGUGGGAUAAAGCUUUGAGACCAACAGGUCUUGGGUUCGAUUCCCAGGGUUUUCCCAAAUUUAUUGGGUUUCCUCUUGAAUUGGUGUAUAGGCAUUAUGCCUAGUGGAGGUGGAUAUGAUCCAAAUUUGCCGUUCAAAAAAAAAAAAAAAAAAAUUGGUUGGUUUAUUUAGUUAGGUGUUGGUUUUCCGUUAGGUUCAAUUUUUGGUUUAUAACCAAAACCAAACUUUGGCUAAUUUUCCUUUUUUUUUUAAAAUUAAAAGUGCAUUAAAUAGAGGCAUAAAUACAAGAAAUGAAGCUAUUAAAGCUAAAAAUAUAUGAGUGGUUCGGUUUCAGUUUGGUUAAUUUCGGUUAACUAAAGGUAAAAAAACCGAUAACCGAUUUUAAGUUAUUUCGGUUUUUGGUUAAGUAAAUUUUCGGUUCUGUUCCGUCUGUUUUUUAUUUGGUUUUGGUUAAUGGUUCAGUUAUUUGUUCAACCCUGGAUAUUGUAAUUUAAAUAUUAACGUAUAAAUUAUAUUCAUUUAAAAAUCGUGAGGGUAGUUAGCUUAAAAUAAGGGAAAGAGUGUAACUAUUAUUUAAAUAAGCAAAAGUUGAGUAGAGUUUGGGGAAUGAGUUAAAUGCAUGUUUGGUCCCUAUAGUUUGCGUUCACCCCUGGAUAUUGUAAUUUAAAUAUUAACGUAUAAAAAGUUAUAGUCAUUAAAAAAUCGUGAGGGAAGUUAGCUUAAAAUAAGGGAAAAAGUGUAACUAUUAUAUAUAACUCUUAAAGACAAAGGUCGGUGCAACGGUGCACCAACAUAUUUACACAAAUGCCCUCCUUGCAAAUUACAAUCCACUCCGGUCACUGGUGAGUUCUAGAAGGGCAGGUACAUUUUCUGUUUCUGGUUUAUCUUCAAAUUAGCCUUCUCUUCAAUUCUAAUUUCUAACCCUGCUUCUUUUACGCUUCUUCUUCUUUUGGAUUUGUGGUAAACAAUUCUCCGAAGUCUAGGCUUGAGUUACAACACAAGAAUCACAAAAUAAAACUGCAUAAGAAAUCAUCCAGUUUCCGCAAACCCUAGAACGACUUCCACAAAUGGGUUUUUUUUUUUAAUCGUAUAGAGGGCUUUAAAGUUGCAGCGAUUUACAUAGGUAGGAGGUUUAGGGUUCUUCAGGUCAGUCUUCAUAUGCGUCUUCCUUUUAAUUCAUGCCUUGGUUUUAUUCUUUGAUUAUUGUCUUUGGUUUUUUUUUUUUUUUUUUUUUUUUUUUUUUUUUUGCUGCUUCUUUUUUUCCAGUUGAUUUGUAUCUUUUGAGUUUUGAAUUUCAUAUGUGGUGGUCUUAUGUCUGUUUAUGAAUCAACAUCAUGCAUGAAAUAGUUGCUUUUAUUUGAAUGCACGAUGAUUAGACACAUUGGGACAUUAUCUAACAAAUGAAUGUUGAUGUUUUAUGAGUGUUUGCUUUAAAAUUAGGACUUCAAUUUGCCAUACAUCACCUAUCUUUAUAUUUCUUGAACGCACUAAUAAGAUAGUGAGAGAUCUUUAUUUUUUAUAUAAUGAGCAAUUACUAUUUUUAAAAUAAUUAAUUUUAUUAUGUCAUUAGAGGAGCGUUCAAUACUGAACCAGUCACACUGACUGAGGGUUGAUGUACAAACCUGUGGCUAGCUUGAAGUAAGGGAAUCGUGUUUGUGGUUGCUGGUUUAGAGGGCAUGUGUGGCUAGAGGAGCAACCAAAUUGGUCUAAAUAUUUAGCUAAUAGUGAGAUGCAUUGUAGAGCAAUAAGGGUUUAAUUAAAAGUUGAAUAGGGUUGCUGAUGUCUAGAAUUGCCAUUUCAAAGUUGAAUGAAGUUGCUGAUAUGUCAUCAUAUCAGAUGCACUUCAUAUAAAAAAUAAAGAUUUUUAUUAAUAAUUUGCUAUAUUUUCACAGAAAGCUCCCGAUCUCUAAGUUCGUCUUAGACUAUAAAAUAGGUUUAGCCACCCCUAUCACUACAAGAAGGUGAGUUGGAGAGACAAAGACAAUGACAAAAUACCUGUUGCCAUUUCGUCAACGGCAGUGGCGGAUCUAGGGGCUGCCAUGGUCAGAACCAAGAAAAAUUAUGUGGGUGAAAUAGAUACAGUGUGUGUGCGCGGUUAGGUGGCGGCGCUAUGGUGGUGUGGUUUAGGUGGCGGUGUUGUGGUGCUAAACUAGGUGUUGGCGAGAGGUUCUGUGGUGGUGAUGGUUUGUUGGUGUUGGUUUGGCGCUCGGUUUUGAUAGCCAAGUUUUUUUACUUUUAUUUAUAUGCGUGCUAUUGGGCUUAUUAGGAUAAAGAAAAUGCUCGACUACAAUAACAAUACGUUGAUGUUUUAUUAUAGAACCGAUAAAUCAAAUAGAAUCAUUCUUCUAUUAUCAAAAUUCAAAAGAUCGCUUGAGCAAUUUAAGUAACUAAUUGAAGAAUUUUGCCCUCAAAUUCUUUUUGUUACUUGACUGAUGAUAUUGUUUGUUUUGCGUCCUGUUCGGUUUAAUUUUUUUUAAAAGCUAGAUGAAACUGGAUGUUCAAGGAGAUGGCCGGUGGCUACACCGGUGCUGUGGUGGCGGUAGCAUGAUUUAAAAAAGUGAAAUGAUUGUGUUAUAUAUUAUAAUUAAUAAAUGUCCAUAAUAUAACUGGCCAUAUUUGUAUUUGUAAUUGGUGAUCUUUAAUAUUUUCUGGAAAAGCAAUUAGAUGCAUUGUUUCACAUGGAAAAUUACCGUUUUAUUCUAGGAAUAAUGGAUUUUAAUAAUCCAAACUAUUAGCCGUUGGCCGAUAGCAGUCCUAACUUCAAAAAUGAUAAGUGGUUGUCCCACCUUUUCACAUAUUGUAAACCAAUGGACCUUUACUAAGAAAACCUUAAUUUCUUUUUGUUCUCUUUU